UUGUGCACUGGAAUUUUGCAAUGUCGAUCACAUCAGUGCCUUGAUCACUCUUUCACGUGAUAUGACGCCCGGCAACUUUAUCACACGCUUGCUUGCUUGGCUGCGUUAGUGACGUAGCGACACUCGCCCCUUCCUUGUAUCUGCCGUGGCUCCACGCACUGACUGCAAACCUUGCCGGUGCAUUCGCCGCUGCCAACCGCUGACGUAUUGUAGCGAAGGACCGGUGCAGACCGGCAAGAAGUCGGUGGUCAUGGUAAGCGUGCGCUGAGGUGCAGUAUGUGUCCCUCCCGCACGUGUAGGGUCCCGUGCAACCGCUGCGAGGGCAGCGAGUACGGUAAUGCUUCCGGACUACUGCUUUGUCUCACGUACUCCAUGGGUAUGCCCCUUGAUGGAUGCAGGAGGUCGCGCGCACAAACGGCAUUACCGUGCUGCACCUGGACAAGCACUCGCUCGAGGCAGCCCACAAGGCGGCGUGCUGCUGGGGCGCGCUCGGCAGCUGGUGGUCCGGCGGCGGCAGCGUGGUGGCGGCUGCUUUCUCGCUCGCCAAGAAGCUGCAGCCGUGCAUCAUCCUGCUGGGUGAGUAGUGAGUGCCGCAUGUUAGGUAAAGUCUCUUAAACGCUUUUGCCUAAGGUUGUGUUACAGUGCCAUACACGGAUGUGAUGGUUGUGUCUUGCUUGCACAAGUCCUUGCAGUGAUCUCAUCCUUGGCGCUCAACAACUCCCCGCUCUGCCACGUCCAUUCUCUCUCAAUGUUUGCGCAGACAAACCGCACGAGCUGUCGCGAGGAAUGCAGGUGUGCGUGCAUGCGUUCUGCGUGGGCUCUAAUGAAAAGCCACCCGCUUCAAUUGGUGUGAUAGCUACCAUACCGCGUGUGCACUGAGAUGGUUUCAUCCUCGUGGCAAUGCCACUCUCUGCUGUGCUGUCUCAGGUGGCGCUCCGCGCCGAGCUGCAACGGCUGCGGGCGGCGCCGCAGGCCUGGUCGCAGGAGCGCGUGUCGGUGGUGGUGACCGUCGCGCCGCUGCUGUGGCAUCCGCCGGUCCAUGUGCCGGCCCGCCACCGCAUGAAGGUACGGCAUGGGCGAUGGUGGCGCGCGGCGCCCAUCCAGCAGGCUCGUGUUCGUGUUUUUAUUUGCUGAGCCCCUGGAGCGCAGAGGGAGGCAAAGUCCCCCUGGAACUCCACUUUCCCAAUCCACCGACUCUGUCCCUCCCACGCCGCAGACGGCCCUGCCCAGCACCCGCCAGCUGGCCGCUAUGCUGCACGGCUUCCUGCACCGCCUGCAGUCCAGCGGCCAGCAGCCCGUGCAGGCGCAGCUGUUGUGGGCGCUGCAGCAGGCCGCGCGCGAUGAGCGGGCCGAUACGGAUCUCGGGUUCCAAGUCCACCAGUUCGUGCGGAGGCUAUGGAGCCGCACCGCGCCGCAGAUGGCGUGGCUGGUGCUGCGGGCGCGGCAGCGGGUGGCCGGCGACGCCAACGAUGGCGCGUGAGUGCAAGCCCGAUGCAAAUGAUCACUUGUGCAGGGGCCGAGCAAUUGUCAUUUGCUGACAUGCUGCCCUGUGCUGAGUCGCUGAGUCGCUUACCCUCUUCCUAUCUGCCCUGGCUGGCUGCUAACCAUGCACAGGGCGCACCCGCUGGUGCUGCAAGACCUGGAGGCGGCACUGCAGGACCUGCUGGCGGAGGAGUGGCAGGGGUGGUGGUGGCCGGGCAGCUGGUCGGCGGGCACGUGGCUGCGCGUGGGUGCGGCGGUGGGGCUGGUCGGCGGCGCGGUAGCGGUGGCGCUGAUGCCGGAUGGGGGCGGCCAGCGCAGCGGCAGCGUGAGCGGCACUGCGUUGGUGCCGGUGGGCGUGUCGAAGCGCUGAUGUGUGGGGCGAAGCAGGUGCGCCAGGACAGAUUUGGGUCAUUUGGCGGAGGCUUGGUGAGAUGUAUGACUUGGUGAAUGUGAGCGUGUCAGGCCGGGAGGAUGUAUGCUUGAGCAUCAUGGGGAUAGUAUCCAAGACUGGAUGGUGGGUAACAUGUCCGAGCAUCGAGUGACACCGUUCGACACUACUGAUCUGGGUCUAUGAAGCGGUUUCCAACUUGGCACUUCAGAGCGUGCCGCGAUAGAUUGCGUGAUGGAAUCGGGCGCGGCCAUAGGAUGGACAUUGAUGGUGGAAGGAGGAAGACUCCACCCGUCAUGAUUCUUACUCGCACUAUCUAGCGUGUGGGGGCGUGUGAUACCGUAAUGGCCUCUAAUGAUACCGUACUAUGAUAGGUGACGGUGGUGGUGUGCAUAUAACUCCAACGCUAUUCGGUUGGCACAGUGAUCUGUCGGUGCCGGUAUGGAGUAUGGAGUGUCGGGCGCAACCCUGCAAACAGCUGACUGGCAGAGGGGCGGCGGCGUGCGGACCCUGGGCAUAAGCUCUUGAAGCCAUCAGGUCGAUGACUGCCUGCGGGCUGGGGGCGUCUGUCUCGGUUGCUUUGUCACCAGCAAAAUUCAACAGCGUGUGUGCCGCGAGAGCGUGACGGCAUCAGGCGCGGCCAAAGGAUGGGAGGCAGGAGGAACACUCUCUCCCCGGCUCCUAGGACCCAGGUGUAAGCCUGCUGGUCCCAGGUUGCUUCUGGGUGUAAGCUUUCUCACUGCGCUAACUGCUUGGUGCCACCAAUUGCCCAGUUACGUAACACAUCCGGCUUGCAGGGGAAAGGCUUGGGGUAGGGGGCCUGGGACAGCCGGGGCACCGCUGCUCCAGGUCUGAGUCGUGUCUGGGGCCAGUCACUUCGGCCGUUCGCCUCCUAAUCGAUGCUGGCGCCCUCAAAACAGCAGCUACUGCGCGCUCCUAUAUACUUGUGAAUACAAAUAAACGGUAUACAUACAUAGCCACGGUUAGUAUACUUGUUUCGCGAGGAGUUUGUAAUAAGACGAGUCAGGGAAGGCCGUGUCUCCCUGCUUACAUGAACUAAUGUCCACUAAAACUUCUCAGCAAUCCCAGCCGCAUGCACAGCCAGCGAUGCCGGCAAAUGACAGCCGGGUGAGGAUGCCGCGUGGAUGGAUGUAUGGGUUUACCAUCGUUGCCGCACCAGCCGCACCUCAACUGAAAUGCUCUCUUACUUUCAAUGAUCAGGCUGAUGUAUGGCUGAUGGUGGCACUCGGUGGCCUGGUUCUAUGGAGGCGACGCUGCCUGUCGACUCAGGUGAGCGCCAACUGCCAGUAGUGCCUGUGCCGGCCCCACCUGCUCCCGGUCAAGGCCAAGCGCAUACUUGACUUCAACAAAAUGCGUGCAGCUGCGGGAAAGCGCCGAGAGAAUUGCGCUGAAGGCAACCCAGAGGGCGGCGGCUGGACCCCUGACACUGACCACAGAGGAGGUAUGGGUCAUGUCGCCAGCAGUCGGGCGUGAGUUUUCAUGUUUGUGCUUGCCAGCCAAAACCCGGUACGUACCCAAUCUUGCGAAACCUACCAUAGCGCUGACGGGUUCCACCCGUGAAUAUUGCACCUUGUUAUGCACCCACUAACUCACACCUGCAGAUGUGCCUGGAGUCGUGCGUGAAGAGUCCGGGCGACUGGGAACUGGAACACCUGCAAGUGUUCGGCGCUGACCCGGCAGUGGUGGAGCGCCUGGUGCGUGGGUGUGUCGGGCCCGCACAUCCGGCCGCAAUGCAUGAGUGGCCGUGGCACCUCCUGCAUGCCUUGCAUAGGGUGUUUGUCGCAAUUCGUCAUCUACAUGCUGCACGCCGCUGCAGGGUAACAUAGCGCACACCCAACUUAAGAGCAGUGUACCCUAGCUCCCCGCCGCCGCCACCGCCCGCAGGACAGCGAGGUGGUGCGGGCGCUGCAGCAGCCCGAGCUGCUGGGGCGGCUGGGGCUGCAGCACCUGGCGCUCUGCGACGCGCACAUGCAGCCGCCCUACCUAGUGCUGCUGUGAGUGCCCGCCGCCCGCCGCCUCCGGAGGAGCCUUCCGUACCACCGUGCUACUGCUGGGUUGCUUGCUUGGUUGCACACGUAGUUUGCAGUGAGAAGUGCCGGACCGGGAGGAGCAGCUAGGAGAAGCCAUCUGCAGUUGCCGCGCACCCGCUUGAUUGCGUGCAUAUGGCCCCACACUACUCUCACAAAUGCCUUUGGUACAUUUUGUUGUGUGCAGCCAGGGACCGGCCCGCACCGGCAAGAAGUCCAUGGUGCUGGUGAGUUCCGUGCGACACGAAUGAACAUCCGGAAGUGCAUGUGCGCCAUGGCCCCCGUCAUGCUUGACCCUUACCUAUUACUUUUAGCCUGAUGAUGAUCGCUCUACCGCCCUUCUUUAUGUGCUAUUGCUCCUUCGCACAUCCAUCUUGCGUGCCAAACUGCACGCACCCCAUACAGGAGCUCGCGCGCACAAACGGCAUUACCGUGCUGCACCUGGACAAGCACUCGCUCGAGGCAGCCCACAAGGCGGCGUGCUGCUGGGGCGCGCUCGGCAGCUGGUG
rnacentral:lncRNA from 1 species